CAUUCCCACUGACUCAGAUGCUGAGGGGCCAGACUGAAGGGACAGUGGCCAUUGCAUCAAGUCAGAGAACGGAUCUGACCCAUCUAGUAGAAGCUUAUUGUUUUGGCAGAAGCACAAGCUCUUAGAGGUGCAGCUGCAGGGUGUGACCUAUUGGGGACAUUGAGCUCAGUGACCAUGGGCCCUGAGAGUCUGAAAUCCUGGAAUUUCUCCCAAAACGAAGUCCAUGUAGGGAAGCCAAAGUGUGAGUCUUACCCGGCUGGUUUACAACUGACUGACAUUUGCUGCCUGGGCAGCUGUUGUGGGUGCCUGGAAACCCUAUUGGACUAGGACUGGCCCCGGCAAAAAACAAGUGUUAUAGCUGCCCAGUGUCCUCUGAGUGGAUGCUGGUGAUUCUGGUAUGGAGCCCAGAUGUAAGGCAGCAGGUGGUCCAGAAGGCACCAGAAGAGGUCUCCUGUCAAAGUCAGGGCCAGAGAAGAAGGCACAGGGAACCUACUGCACGAGACUUUCACUUGCAACGAGCAACCCAUGAUGAGGAGGGAGGAUUCCUGGGGGCAUUGAGUCCCCCAGACACAAGGACCCAAGACCUUCUUGCUUGGAAAGUGAAUUCCUCAGAAUUCCGAGAUGAUGCCAGUCUUGGAGGAAGAUGACAUGAGGACCCAAAACCUUCUUGCUUGGAAAGUGAAUUCCUGAGAAUUCCGAGAUGAUGCCAGUCUUGGAGAAAGAUGACAUGAGGACCCAAAACCUUCUUGCUUGGAAAGUGAAUUCCUCAAAACUCCACAAAGACUCCAGUCUUGGAGGAAGAUGACAUGAGGACCCAAAACCUUCUUGCUUGGAAAGUGAAUUCCUCAGAACUCCACGAAGACUCCAGUCUUGGAGGAAGACGAGGUGUUGAGAGAUAGCUGGGAUCCCUGAGGAAGGCAGCCCCAGUCUCCGGUGGAGAAUUAAGAGGGGCCCAAGCAGAUGGUUGGUGGUGGAAACGUCACCUCAGUAUAGUACUAUGGAGUUUCCUUUCACCCCCAACAGCCGACGGUUUCCAGGGGCGAAGAGUGAAAAUUGAAGCAAGGUGUCUACUGUCCAGCGGUAGACAAGGAGGCAGUGCGCCUGCCACCCCCAAGGAAGAGUCAGUUCAGAAGCACAGCAGCUGCUGGAAACCCAGGAGGUUUCCAGUUCGUUCCUGCUGGGACCUGGCAAGAACUGCACUGUCAAGGCUGCAAGAGGCUCCUGACGGCUUCUGACAUGUACAGAAUGGAAUAAGAGAACCUAGCAGAAAUGGAAGCAGAGGCAAGAGGUCUGGAGGCCAGGAAAAUGUCAAUGGAAAGCAGCUAGCAUGAAGACCCCACAGUGUUCCUCCCUCUAGUAGUCUGGUAUUAUUUGGAGCUGAGAUGCUCCCAAUAUGGUUGGGACAUUUGUCCCCUCCAAAUCUCAUGUGAGAAUUUGAUCCCCCAUUUUGGGGAUGGGGUCUAAUGGGAGGAGUUUGGGUCAUGACGGGGGACCCCUCAAGAAUGGCUUUGUGCCCUGCUCACCAGGAAUGAAUGAGCUCUCACUCUACUAGUUCACUGGAGAGCUGGUUUUUUAAAGAGCCUGGCGUCUCCCCAACUUUCUCUCUUGCUCCCCCUUCUCACUGUGUGAUAUACCUGCUCCCCUUUGCCAUCCAUCAUGAGUGGAAGCUUCUUGAAGCCUCCACCUAAAGCAGAUGCCGACACUAUGCUUCCUGCACAGCCUGCCAUACCAUGAGCCAAUAAACCUGUUUUCUUUGUAAAUU
rnacentral:lncRNA from 1 species